UGCGAUUCACCAAAGAGCCAAAGCACCUUUCAUGGAGAAGCAAUACCUUUUUAUUUAAGAGAAAUGAGGCUGAAUUCUCAGACAGAAUACCCCCCGCCCAGGCAUGGGCAAACUGCCUGGUCAAGGCGGCUGCCCUGGAAAACUACUGAACUGAAUUAGAUAGAAGGCAGCCUCCAAUAUCCCAGCAUCUCUCGAUCAGGGUGUGGUAGAAUUUUCCUGCGUUCAUUUUCUCUGUGAUUAAUCUGGAGCCGUACAACAUGGAUUGGCUAGUUUGGCAAUGACGGUUAUUUGCUCUUGAUAUCUUUCUGGUCUUAGAGAAACAGCUCAGUUUAAACUCAGUUCAACCCAGGCAGAAAGAAGAAUUCAGAAAGAUCAUCAAAGGAAAAAUAACAUGUAACCUAGAAUACCUCACGGAAAUACAGCACAGAUCAGCUCACAUUACUUAUAAUUGUUGGACAACAUAAUAUGGACCAGAUGGCUUCAUUAUUCUCUGUUACACAUUUUGAAUUUUAAAUGUUGUGUUGGACUGCCUGUCAGUGGCCAGCUGUGUCCCGGAGGAGAUGAUGAGGCCAGACCGCAGUUCAAAGAUCCUGGCUAGAUACCAUGGACAGCCUUCAGACUCAGACUGGAACUAUACAUCGGCUCUCCUGG